UACGAAGGGGGCGAGCGUUGUUCGGAAUUACUGGGCGUAAAGGGCGCGCAGGCGGCCCUUGAAGUCAGGGGUGAAAUCCCGGGGGCUCAACCCCGGAACUGCCCUUGAAACUGGAGAGCUAGAAUCUUGGAGAGGCGAGUGGAAUUCCGAGUGUAGAGGUGAAAUUCGUAGAUAUUCGGAAGAACACCAGUGGCGAAGGCGACUCGCUGGACAAGUAUUGACGCUGAGGUGCGAAAAGCGUGGGGAGCAAACAGG
rnacentral:rRNA from 1 species